CUGAUCUCAACUGGUGUUGAGGGCGGAUUUCAAAUCCGUGGGCGUUCCACGACGCAGUGGUUCAAUUCCACCU
rnacentral:tRNA from 1 species